rnacentral:lncRNA from 1 species
AAGUGCCGUCCUCCAAGUUGUCUGCGGGGCACACUGCGGCCAUCGUAGUGGGCGUGAUUGUGGCCGUCGGCCUUGUCGGCCUUGUCCUGGCCGUCAAACUACGCCUGUGUGAGUCAUCCAGCUCUCCCCCCCCCCCCAGGAAGUUCCCUCCUCGGGUUUGGGCCUGGCUUCCCAGGCUCCUGAAACGCAGAGAGGGCGUGGAGAGGACGGCGGAGGCCAGGACAGGAGCCGAGGGGCAGAGGGACAGGCCUGGGACCUCUGGGAGGCCGGAGCAGGGAGACCAGAAGCUGAAGCCCAGGGAGGGCAGGGGGCAGGGGGCAGAGACCAUCAGAUAAAGCCAAGUGAAACCGGCUGGGCGCAGAGGGCCAGAGUGAGCUCGGUCAUCAGUCCCGGGCCCAGGCGCUGUGCCCAGGCCGGGGGGAGGGGGCAAAGGGGGUCGCUGCCAACAAGCGGCUCUGCAGGAGCUCCCCUCCCCCUCUCAACGUCCUUGACACUGGGACUGCCCCCCUCCCCCGUUUUACAUUGAGCCUUGGAGGGGCCAGCAGCUGACCCAGGACCCUGGGACCCGAAUGGAGCCGGAUGGAGAGCAAAAAGCAGGCUCAGGGGCAAGUUCCUCCUUUUACAAAUGAGGAAACUAAGGCUCAGGGAAGUUUGGGUGACUCUCAAAGUCAAACAAAGCAAGUGGCAGGAGCUGAGGCCUCCUGAGUGCCCCGCAUUCCUCCCACUGGCACCCAAACUAGACUCCAGUCCCCAGAACUGGGGGGGCUUCCAGAACGAGAAGAACUGAGGAGUUCUAGGAAAGUGGGAAGGGCUGGGAGGUCAUUUAGAACCCAAGAUGUCAGGGCUGGGAGGAGCCUGAAAGGCCCCCCUGUUCAGCCCCUCCCUGGAUUUGCCCGGCGCUGUGUGGCGGUGGCAGAGCCGGCAGGAGACCCCCGCCAAAUCUCCCCGGCCAAACUAGUGUUCUGCUCCCCGAACUAAACAUCAUGUGCUCACGGCUGCUUCCUCUCCUCCAGGUCGAGGCUGUAAUAGGAACUCACCUGAAAUGGAAGUCUCCUACGCUUCCGUGCCCUCCACUACCAACCCACCCAGGCCGACCCAGGAUAGCGUGGCAGAUGACACCAACCCAAAUGGCAGACAGAGCCUGGCUGAGUGACGGACCCUCCCAGCCUCCUCAAGCCAGAAGAGGAUCAGCCUUUCGCACCUUCCUGGCCCACAAAGCUCCUCUGGCCUCCACUGGAUGGGGACCAGCCUGUUGGGAAGAGCUCAGGCAUAAGCAUCAGGACACUGGACUCUGCCCCUGGGAGCCCACUAGUAGGGUGCAUGAGCAUGAACAAGAUCCUUACUCCUUCCUGUCCUCAGUUUCCCCAUCCAAAAAGAGAAGGCCAAUCCACAAGCAUUUAUCAAGCACUUACAUGAGACACACCAGGUUAGAGAAGCAUCCCACGUGUUCUUGGGGGGCUAUUUGUGCCUGACCCAUGGCAGAGCACUCCAAGGCCUGAUCAGCCACAGCAGGACACACUGCAACUCUUGGUUCUCUUUGAAAAGAAAGGACAACAACAGGCUGAGAUCCUCCAGUUCCUGACCUCUCCUCACCCAAGACUUGGGAUAUUUUUAUUUUUGUAAUUAUUUUUAAUAAUUUAUUACUUAAUUUAUUAAUAAAAUGCUCCUGCUACCAAUCUGGGUCCCCAGUGUGAAGAACUGGAAACAGGGGACAAGUGGGAGGCAGCCCUCACCCCAGGAGGGGAAAGGCAAGGGAUGGGGUCAAAGUCCCCCAAAGUUUCCUGUUUGUAGCAUGAUGUUGUAGAGUGAGCACUGGCUCAGGAACUAGCGGGCCUGGGUUCAGGUUCCACCAUCUUUGACAUUUACUGCUUCUAUGACCUUCACCUGGGUCACCAACCUUCCCGGGUCUCGAUGUCCUUACCCCUCAUAUAAAGAGUUAGGCCUUUGGGGUCCCCUCCAGCCCACAAUGUAAAAUGCUCCAGUAAACUGUCAAAUGGUUGGAUUCUCAGUCCCAUUCAGGUCCAGAUGUGUGAGUCCUGAUAUAAUCCAAACAUAGGGCCACAGCUUUUGACCAGAGGCCUCCACCUCCACCCUGAUGGCUCCCAGUUCCAAAGCCCCACCUCCAGUCUGUGACAACCACACUAGCACCCAGGACACCCCAGAAUCAGCUGUAGUCAGGAUAAGCAAAAGUCCUUAAUCUUUAUUCUCGGUCCCCAGA